CCAAUCAACCUGUGGCCGGACCAGGGCUGCCAUCUUCCCGGCGGACCAUUUCUGCUCUUCCGCCGUACGGCCUCUGUCAUUGGCCAGGGCGGCCUCGUUUCAGCUCUAAGUAUACACCGAUUGGUGCGCCUAAAGAGCACCGGAAAACAGUGCCUGCCAUUUGGAAUGCACAAAUGAAUGAGCGACUAGGAUGAACUUCUGAGCUGAGAUCUGACUGAAGUUAGGAAGUGAGCCAGGAGAUGUCUGGGGAAGAGAAUUCCGGAUAGAGGGAACAGCAAAGGCAAAGCUCGGAAGCAGGCUACGUGAUCAGUCUGAAGUGGACCACAUUCUUGGUCUCACCACAGCCAGUCUCGCCUGAACCCUCUGUGAUCCGGCUUCUCUCCCCACUACGCUACGACUUCUCUCCAAAGGCACUGGACCUCCCAGCAGCCAAAUCCCAGGGCCUCUCCUGCACGCUUGCUCCUGAGACUGUGAGCGCUUUCCUUUUGAAGACAUAGAUAAGUAAUUUCACGGCCAUUACAGGAAAAUUAUAAAAUACUGGCAAGCAAAAAUUCAUUUAAAAAUCACUGGAAGCCCCACCACCCACUAUUAACAUCUCGCUGGAUAUUCUUCCUCACUGUUGCCUCAGCAAAUAUAUACACGCAAGUUGUGCAUUUUUAAACCAAAAUGGGACUGUGCUGUGUAAACCAUUUCAUGAAUUUUUUUUUUUUUCCACUGAAAAAUAUGGCAUAGCCAUCCUUCCAUGUCAGGGAGCAUAUUCCUACACUAUCACUGUCACCAUUAAUCACCCCCUCCUGGGUGAAACUUUCUGUGCCCGUGGCCUGGGAGAUGUGGCAUUUGCGGGUGUGUCCCUCUCUCAGAGACAACUCUUUCAGACCCUCCACCCACGGUCGUGGCGACCACCCAGCUUUGCCCCUCUGCCUCUACUUUUCUCACUUCAACCUUGUUCCAACUUGGAAUCCAGCUAGACAUUUCUACUUUAGUGUUUUACUCUCACUGCAAAGAAAAAGCCUAAAUUCACAUUCUCUCCUCAAACCAGCAUUCCUCGCCCACUGGCAUGUUUACCAUGUAGUCUAUUGCCGGAGCCACCUUUGUCCUACCCCACUGUCCUCAUAUCUAGUCAGUUUCCAGGGGCUGUUCAUUUUCUUUCACUACACCUCACGUCUCCAUUCCUCUCUGUUCCCGCUGCCACUGUACCAGCCCCAGUCCCUUGUCUCAAAUGCUGGUGUCAUCCAGCAGCCUCCCGGUGGGCCUCUCACGGUGCCUUCUGGCCACGUGACCCGUUCUCCAUCAUCCAGGGGGGUGCCUUCUCCUGCUCCAGAACCCGCAACAGCUCUUUCCCAAAUUGAUACUUCCGUAGGCUCGCAGACACCUAUACCACCUCGUAGCUACCGAAUUCCAAAACACACUCUGCUCUGGUCAGGCCGGGCCUUCCACCGUCCCAGGGAUGUGCAAGCUUCGUCCCCGUCCCCAUUACAUAGGAUGUCUUUCCCUGUACCCACCCGAAUCCUAUCUAACCCACUAGGCCCUGCUUACAUCUCACCUCUUGGAGUUACUUCAGCCCACUCAGGUCUCCCCGCUUCACUAAACUCCUACUGCACUUACAGCACGAGCCACACAGCAUGCACCUCACGGUGCCAACCCCGGGUGAGAUCCAGUAGCACAGGCAUUACAAACUGGUUGGCUUAACAUCCUAGGGAGUAGAAAGCGGAGUCUAUGGAAAUUAGAGAUGUGGAGAGACCCAGGGGUCAGGGAAUUAGAGGAAGGGGGGCAGAUGGGAGUAG